CCUACGGGAGGCAGCAGUGGGGAAUAUUGCGCAAUGGGCGAAAGCCGGACGCAGCGACGCCGCGUGAGGGAUGAAGGUCGUCGGAGCGUAAACCUCUGUCAGCAGGGAAGAACGGUCACUGAGCUAAGCAGCAGUGAAUUGACGGUACCUGCAAAGGAAGCACCGGCUAACUCCGUGCCAGCAGCCGCGGUAAUACGGAGGGGGAGAGCGGUAAGCGGAAUUACAGGGCGUAAAGCUCUCGUAUGCGGUAUGUCAAGUCAAGGGUGAAAUCCCCGCGCGCAACGUGGGAACUGCCUUUGAAACUGGCAAACUGGAGUGUGUGAGCGGAUAGUGGAAUUCCAGGUGU
rnacentral:rRNA from 1 species